GCACGGCGAGAUCACGCCAGCCAGCCGCCAGCCAUGUGAAAGCGUCGGAUGGGGCCAGUGACCGAUUCCAGCGGUUCUUGACCGGAAGUGGUGGCACAAGGCUCGGGAUGAUGGUCAUGCGAAGUUACUCCGCCGAUAGUUUGGUUGGCUUCGCGGCUUUUGGCGAACAGGACGACUUCGCCGCGCUGAAGCUGUUAUUUCCUUCGCUCGCCUCACCACGACGCACGUGAUCGACGCACUCCGGCUGCGAGGUUACAGCGACAUAAAGCAGGUGCGCAUUCGCACCGACAAGCAGAAUAAGGCCGAGCCCAGUCACCAGCAUGAUGAAUGGCUUCAACCUCAGCCGGGCAGGGGAUGUU
rnacentral:misc_RNA from 1 species